GGGGCCAGGGGUCUGGGGGCCACAUUCAGUAACGGAGAGGAACACAAACCGCCCGUCUUCUACAGCAUCACUGAACGCGACUGGCAAGAGCUUCAUAACUGUGGCGUCAUGUUGGACGCGAGGAUGAAGAAUUUCUCUCUGGUACCACGUUGCCUGCAACCAAACAUAUCCGAGGCGUCCGUUUCCACCCCAGCGUAACAUAAAGCCACUUAUUAAUGUCAUUAUUUGACUGAUUUUAAGCACUUAAGAACCUGGAGUCUUCUAAGAAGCUUCAGUUGCUUUGAAGAAGUUUUGCUGGGACCAGAGCUUAAGAAGUGUUAUUAACCAGAACAACUUCAUAGCCAUCACAACUGAUGCAUAUACCGCAAAUAGGUGCGAUUAGCUUUAACAAAUGGGACUGUUGGCGUUUACAGAUACACUUAAUUAUAUUCAAGUCCGUUUUAUAAAUAUGUAUACACAUAUAGUAUUUCCACUUACUAAUGGAAUCAGUCAUGUACCCAACAGCCGAAGUUAUUUAUUAAAGCUGGAGUCUAGUUUCAUGACAUCAUCAGAUGCUUUUAAAGAAACAUGCACUUGUUUUUUGUUAUUUGUAUUAAGAAACUGGAAAAUUGUGGUCUUUGUCCUAUUUGAACUGUUGCAGGAAUAGUUCAGCAAAAUACAAUGGAAACUUUGUAAACUCUUAAAAUCUUAGGCCUAAAAUGCACUUUAAAGGAAUAGUUUGCCC